rnacentral:rRNA from 1 species
UACGUAGGGGGCAAGCGUUGUCCGGAAUCAUUGGGCGUAAAGCGCGUGUAGGCGGUCCGGUAAGUCCGCUGUGAAAGUCGGGGGCUCAACCCUCGAAUGCCGGUGGAUACUGUCGGGCUAGAGUGCGGAAGAGGCGAGUGGAAUUCCUGGUGUAGCGGUGAAAUGCGCAGAUAUCAGGAGGAACACCAAUUGCGAAGGCAGCUCGCUGGGACGUUACUGACGCUGAGACGCGAAAGCGUGGGGAGCAAACAGG